GAUGAACGCUGGCGGCGUGCCUAAUACAUGCAAGUCGAGCGAACAGACGAGGAGCUUGCUCCUCUGACGUUAGCGGCGGACGGGUGAGUAACACGUGGAUAACCUACCUAUAAGACUGGGAUAACUUCGGGAAACCGGAGCUAAUACCGGAUAAUAUAUUGAACCGCAUGGUUCAAUAGUGAAAGACGGUUUUGCUGUCACUUAUAGAUGGAUCCGCGCCGCAUUAGCUAGUUGGUAAGGUAACGGCUUACCAAGGCAACGAUGCGUAGCCGACCUGAGAGGGUGACCGGCCACACUGGAACUGAGACACGGUCCAGACCCCUACGGGAGGCAGCAGUAGGGAAUCUUCCGCAAUGGGCGAAAGCCUGACGGAGCAACGCCGCGUGAGUGAUGAAGGUCUUCGGAUCGUAAAACUCUGUUAUUAGGGAAGAACAAAUGUGUAAGUAACUAUGCACGUCUUGACGGUACCUAAGCAGAAAGCCACGGCUAACUACGU
rnacentral:rRNA from 1 species